UAAUUUCGUGUUCCACUUCUUCCGAUUGAACUUCUCUCGAUUGGUGUCAAAUUCGACUUUUUGUGAGAGAUGAGCAGUUCAAGCAGAGAACUUCUGCAUUUGNNNNNNNNNCAAGAAUGUCUCUGCAUCUCCUCUUGAAUCCUCACUUCUUGUCUGUAAAAAGGAGUCGGUCUCUCAUAACAAGAAAGCCCCUCCUGAUGGAAAGCCCC
rnacentral:misc_RNA from 1 species